rnacentral:sRNA from 1 species
UGCGUGAACCCUUCGAAUGUGGAUGUCUUUCGUAACCAAGACGACACCAUAUCUGUAUGAAUAAGAAAAUUAAAAAAGAGAAUACAAAUGGCAAACAAAAUAAUGUGAAGUGACUUCAGUUUGAGUGAAACGUAGAAAUUUCUAAACCAAGAAUUUAAUUAUUGCUAAAGCAUUAAUCAUAUCCAUGUGAUUCGAAAUAUUGAAGGAAGGCAAGAACGAAUUUGAUACUCGCGCUGGAGUCUAAGCAAGAAAAUUUUUUCUCUGCCUUGUUCUUUGGUGCUUCUUCUUCCACUUCGUUGGUGGAGGAAUUUUUGUAUCCACCUUAAAAUGGAAAUUGUAUAGAAAAAUUUUGUGAAGUGAGAAAAAAGCAAACACACUGAAGAAGAGAAAUUUUGAAAAAAAGAAAUCUAAAGCUUUGAGUGUCGUGUGCAGUCCCACUAAGUGUAUGUUCUUUUGUAUGAAAAAAGAAAAAAAUCCAAGAAGUUUUUUCGAACGAAAGCAAAAAAUCUCUAUACACCACAAUUCUUCCUUAUAUUGUAAUAUAAUCAUCAUCAUUAUCAACAUCGUCAUAUCAUCACAUCGUCGUUGUCGUUGUCGUCGUUCUAGCAGGCAUAUCUACUCCAUACACUAAAAUAACGGGACAGAGACAUGCAAGCAUAGCGCAUAACGAAUGCCGUCGUUGUCGUUUACGUUGUUGUCGUCGCCGUCAUCGAAGUCGUUGUUGUUGUCAUUGCCGUCGAUGCCGUUAUCGUCGUAGUAGUAGUAGUAGAAACGUGUCGCGUAGACGAGCCUUUUCAUUCCAUUACACACUUCGGGCCGCGUGGUACAAUCCCCACCAACCUCCCCCAAAACAUAAAUAAAACAAAAAACAAAUCAUAAGAACAGCAUACCCACACUCACACAGAGCGAGAGCAGAAAGAGAGAAAAUACACCGAGUAACCGUAAUUGGUAGUGUAACGUAACGCCGUAGUAUCCGAAGGUAUUUGAAUAACGUGCUGUACGGCUUUAGAUAAGCCGACUUUUUUAAGGGAUAUUUAUUGUACAAUCCCAACUCCCAGGCCCACACCCGCCACACACCUUCAUCGGCAUUGCUUGUAAUCGUUCUCUCACCCGCAUGCAUGUUUGUGUGUGUGUGGGAGCGCGUAAAUUUAUGUGAUUACAAAGCUGUCAAUACUCUUUGAAGUCGAUAAGGAGAUGCAAGGUUUUCCACCCUUAUCACCGCCGACCAUUUCUUAGUCAUCAUCAAGAGCGUAUUCGUUUGGCUUUAAGCCAUCCAUUUGACCAAAAAGAGCAGCAGCAGUAACGAAGUCUUUCGAAAAUCUACAUAUCCGAAUGGAGAAUAUUCUCAUUCGAUAAGCAAAGCGGAAGUUGCAGUUAUUCCGAAAGAGAAACCCCACAACGCAUAUUUUCCAACAUAUCAAUGGACUUAAACAUUUCAAAAAUACAUUAAAAAAGAGAAAAGCUGUCAAUAACACUAUUUACAAUAAAUAAUCAAAAAUAAGUAAAUUUAAAUAAAAAAAAAACAAAAAAA